UCUCCGUAGGUGAACCUGCGGAGGGAUCAUUACAGAGUUCUCGCCCUCGCGGGUAGAUCUCCCACCCACUGUUAUCGUUACUGUGUUGCUUUGGCGGGCCGCCGGGCCCCGCUCGGCCGCCGGCUCCGGCUGGCGCGCCCGCCAGAGGCCCAGCAAACUCUGAAUGUUAGUGUCGUCUGAGUACUAUAUAAUAGUUAAAACUUUCAACAACGGAUCUCUUGGUUCUG
rnacentral:misc_RNA from 1 species